rnacentral:lncRNA from 1 species
CCCUCCCCUACCUAAAACCCCAAAUAAAAACCCUUCCUUUUAGCUUUUCAGGGAGUUUGGGAUUUCAGCAUUAGCUGCCCUCUCUCCUUGCUCAGCACUGUGCAAUAGUUAAAUUCCUACUUUCUUCCACUACCGCCGGUGUCAGAGAUUGGCUUGCUGUGCAAUGGCAGGACCAGCCAAAAAUAAUGGGCACCCAGCAGCCUUCUGGGUUCCAUUUGUUUUGAAGUUGCGACAUCCCGGCCAAAUUUUGAAUCCACUAUCCUCCAUGGAGACAGACACCACCAAGGACAAGCCCUGGAUUCAUUAUCUCCUCUUUGCAAAGAGAUACAGGCUGGUGCGAAAGCUGCUGACCAGCAAGGUCACGGACUCCCUCCUCUCUGCAAGUAGUCUCAAGGCCAAAGACAGGCUGGUGGGAAAGCUCCAACUAGCAAGGCCAUAUGCUGCCCCCCUCCCCCCCCACGUAAAACCCCAAAUAGAAACCCUUCCUUUUAGCUUUUUGGGAAGUUUGGGAUUUCAGCAUUAGCUUCCCUCUCUCCUUGCUCAGUGCUGUGCAAUAAUAAAAUUCCUACUUUCUUCCACCACACCCAGCAUCAGAAAUUGGCUUGCUGUGCAACAGGUUUAAAACACCUGGGUCAAGACCUCUUCUUCUGGCCAAAAUGGAGAAACAAGGACUGGAUUUCCUCUCCUGCCUAAAAAAACCAAAAGACAUACAAAAUGUAUGAAGGAUUUUCGAGACUUUGGAUAUCAGGCAAUGAAAGACAAUGAUCUUUGAGUGAUGGAAAAUAAAUGAGGUAUAACAGACUCAGAAAGUAUUGGGUAAGCUGAAUAGAGUUCCGAGAAUGCUGGGCACAUUCGCCGAACAAUCAAAACACUUCCAACAGAGAGGGAAAAAGAAAAGCAGAUCUAUUGAAAAACAUUUUCAUGACACAGAACCAUGGAAUUAAAUGACUUUCAAAGAAAGGUGUAAACCUUACAAUAAUUUCAAGUCACAUUCAGUAUGAAGCAAAGAUUUACAUGAAAGAACUUUUAGAUGUAUGAACGUUCAUAUGAGAGAAAUGUGCUCAGUGAAGGAGAGAACCCAAAAUGCUUUGCAAUAGCCUGGCCAUUGCUCGAGCAUGAUGACUUCAAAAGAAGCUACAGAAAGAAAUGGAAAGUUGGAAUAAAUACUGACCAAGCAAGGAAAGGACAGAAUAAAAAUGAGUUCCUGUGUCUAUAUAUCCAAGUCCAGAUACCAUUUCUGUAUGGAUGAUCUAGAGAUGAUAAAUUCACAGCAUGUCAAAACCUGAACUAAUCUCAAGUUUGUUACCAAAUUUUUUCUCCAGAUCUUGUUUGAUGAUAGCCCAUCUACCCAGUUACCCAAUCACAGACCUCAGAGUCAUCUUGGAAUCCUCGCUGUGUCCCAUUUUCCCCCAUCUUUUACCAAUUCUAUUGAUUUCGCUGCUAGUGUCUAGACACUCCUUUUAAUGUGUAUGUUAAUGAUAUGAAUCAGAACUUCAUCAAUCUCUUGCGUAGCUCACUGUAACAAUGUCUUAAUUGAUCUCCGUGUCCCUGGUGUUUCUCCUUUCAAUCUAUUCCCCACAUUGCUGCCAAAAUAGUCAUUCUAAAAUGCAAAUCUGAUCAUAUCGCUUCCUUGGUAAAUAUCCUCCAAAGUUUCCUGAUACCAAUUGGGAUAAAAUCCAGAUUCCUUAGCAGAACAUGAAAAGCCCUUAAUAGGGACUACCCUCCUCUCCAUCCAUUCUUUCCAUCAGUAGCCCCUGCUCAUCCUUCCAGACCCAGUUCAGGAAUUAUCUCCUCUGAAUAUUCACUCAUGAUACCCUUAUCUGAAUCAGCUUCCCUAACCACAGCACCUUGCAAUUCUUUUUGGCUUAGAACUUAUCUUAGUUUGUUGUAAUUGAGUGACCAUGUCUCUUUAUCCUACUAUUCUGCAAGAAACUUAAGGAAAGAAGCCAUUGUUCUUCAUUUCUGUAUCCCCAGCAUGGAACACUAAUACGUAGAAAGCAAUUAAAGUGUUUGAGAAAGAAAGGAAAUAGGAAAGAAAAAGAAAAUAGAAGGGAUCAACUAGAUAACUCUAGAAAAUUUUUAACGCUAAAAUGCUGUCUCUGUGAUUCCAUUUAUUUGGGCCAGACCCCCAGGUCAUACACACAUCAUCUACAGGCAGUGAGGGGUAAACUAUCAACACCAAUAAGCUAUUCUUCCAUUCUCCAACCCCAAGGGAAAGUGUUCCCUUAAACUCACCACAUAAAGACAACAAGGAUGCUUUAAGGUGAGAGAAACCUGUAGUAGUAUACAUUCUUAGGAUUACCAGGAGAAAUAGAUCCCCAAGUGGUAGACCAGGGAGCUGAUUUUUACCUCCAAAGCAACAAAGCUCAUGGAAGCAUUGUGUCACCCUCCCUUCCUGCAGCCAUCAACGCUGAGUGCCAGGGAGGUGAAGACUCUCCACACACUAGGGGGUACUCUUGGACCAGCAGUUUCCAUGCUCAUUAAGUUCUCUUUGGAUUUUGCUUCUCUUCAAAUCAAGUUAAAAUGUAUCUCCCCUUAUUCCUAGACUCUGGGAAGUAGAUUUGGUUGUGCCUUCUUCUGUAGCAUACCCAUAACUCUUCUAAAGAAUUUAUCACACUGUUAUUAUUAUUGUUAUUAGAUAAGUGUUCAGAGACAAUUCUCCAAGGGUCUCUUGCGUUUCUGCCCAUUUGAGCAAAGACGUUGACAGCUUUUGCUUCCAACUAUCUUUCCAAGGAUGUUUGUAUGGCAAACUGCCUUUGAGCAUGGAGAUAGUAUCUCCCUUCAAGGGAGAAGAAGGCAGGUUUUUCCUAACCUAUCUUGGUAAUAAAGAUAAUGUCUCCCACUGAGGUGAAGGUUAGGCAAGUUUGCUAGCAGCCUCCUUUGUGAGAUUGGGAGCUUCCAACGCUUAUGUUUCCUCAAUUGUGAUACAAACCUACUGUAGACACAUCUACCUGGGCUACUUUACAUCACCGCCAUGGAACUAGAGGAGAGGGGAGGAAUCCAGGAGAACAUGAAGUUCAUGCUGCCUGCUGUGCCGUGAGUAAUAAAGUUUUCUCUGAUCCAGGAAUCUCAUGUCUUAUGUCAGGAUCUAUGAACCUGCAGCAGACUCACUUGUUAAGCAUUUAAACAGAGCGAAAUCCCAUACCUUUUUCAAGUUCCUGCUAAUGUGCAGUGUGUUUGUGUCUGUGUGUGUGUGUGUGUGUGUGUGUGUGUUUAACCUAUUCAGCUUCUUCUGACCGUGAACUCCUUAAGAGUAAGGAUUGUAUCUAAUCCAUCCAGGGAUCUCCAAGACUUAACCUAAUUAAAAUUAAAAUAGACAUUAGCCGAAUAAAAAUGUAAUGAGAACAUGGGUAGUCAAG